AUUGCACAAUGGGCGCAAGCCUGAUGCAGCCAUGCCGCGUGUAUGAGAAGGCUUCGGGUUGUAAAGUACUUUCAGCAGUGAGGAAGGUGGGAUAUGUUAAUAGCAUAUUCAUUUGACGUUAGCUGCAGAAGAAAGCACCGGCUAACUCCGUGCCAGCAGCCGCGGUAAGUACGGAGGGUGCGAGCGUUAAUCGGAAUUACUGGGCGUAAAGCGCAUGCAGGUGGUUUGUUAAGUCAGAUGUGAAAGCCCGGGGCGUCAACCUCGGAAUUGCAUUUGAAACUGGCAAACUAGAGUACUGUAGAGGGGGGUAGGAAUUUCAGGUGUAGCGGUGAAAUGCGUAGAGAUCUGAAGGAAUACCGGUGGCGAAGGCGGCCCCCUCGGACAGAUACUGACACUCAGAUGCGAAAGCGUGGGGAGCAAACAGGAUUAGAUACCCUGGUAG
rnacentral:rRNA from 1 species